UACGAAGGGGGGCUAGCGUUGCUCGGAAUCACUGGGCGUAAAGCGCACGUAGGCGGCUUUCUAAGUCAGGGGUGAAAUCCUGGAGCUCAACUCCAGAACUGCCUUUGAUACUGGAGAGCUUGAGUCCGGAAGAGGUGAGUGGAACUCCGAGUGUAGAGGUGAAAUUCGUAGAUAUUCGGAAGAACACCAGUGGCGAAGGCGGCUCACUGGACCGGUAUUGACGCUGAGGUGCGAAAGCGUGGGGAGCAAACAGG
rnacentral:rRNA from 1 species